UCACUACCCCUUUCCCUACCAUGACUAUGUUUUGUUUAUGCUUUGCUUAUGCUAUGUUUUGCCAAGGUACCUGCAGUGUUUUGUAAGUUUUGGAUUUUGUCUCUGAUUCAUACCUGCAGUGUUUUUGUUACGUUUUUGACCUUUUUGAGAAUAAACUAAGAUGCGGCUGCCAAGCUCUUGUCUGCACUUUGGUCCGACCCAAAAUCCCUCUUCGACAGUGGAGUUCCAAUGGUGGAAGGAGGAAAAUUGUGAGGAAGUGGACAGGUAGGUGGACAGGCAGAUGAAUUACGGUGGAUUGUUGUAGGUAGGCCCUAACAGCAUAAACCAAGGGAGCGACCAGGGAAGUGGUGAGAAGAUUCACAGAGGGAAUCCAGGAACGGAACAUGAACAGGGAAUCCGAUUUCCUGAAGGAAAGACAAGAAGAAGGGAAUCUGCUCCUCCUUAAGCUCCUCCUGACUGGGCUUGACGACCUCCAACUGUGAGGAUGCACCUGCCAGUCACACCCUGCAAUCAGAGAAGAAGAGGAGAGGUGAAAUGAGGAAAAGGGAGGGGAGGGGGAGCCUUCGAUUACAGAUGCAGAGAGGAGAACUUGUGCCAGCUAGCAGAACUUUGAAAGUGUAAUGCAAGAAUGGCAGAUCACAGAGGCCAAAGAAAAAUGAUAUUCUCUUCCUUGCAACUCCCCCAACCAGGGACUUUGUUGUGGGGGCUUCUGCUUUUAACUGGAAACAGGUUCUGUGUUUCUGCGGCAUCCCACACGCACACCCGUGUACACAGGCGUGGGUACAUACAAGCAAACUUCCUCAUUUUUCUCUUCCUAAAGUAUGGGGACAGUUUGUUAAACCUGAUCCAGUGUGCAAAGCCUUGCUAUCUGCAAGAUGGUUGUCCUUAGCUGUCAGUGAAGACACAGGGUCUCCAGGUUGGGUUGUUCUACUGCAGACCCCAGGGGGAAACCAAGGAAGUUAUGGAGCUCAGAGCUGGGAAUGACAUCAGAUUCUAAUUGGUUGUAUUCUAGCUGCUGCUCACCAAGCAAUGGGAUUUGCUAUAUGUUUGCGGUUCUUUUGGCAUUACAAGCUAAUGUGUUGACUGUGUCUUUUUUUACCUUAUGUGUACAAAAAAGGUAAAUGUUCACAGUUAUUUUAUAGCACUAUACAAGCAACUGGUUUAAUAAGAUACAAACUGUCAUAAGCUGAGAAAUAGCUGCAGCGUUCAAUGCAUUCUGUCUCCACGGCAGCCAUGUUGGAUACUAAACUGCUCUGACUUUCCCAGUCAGAACUCAGUCUUCUGGACUGCAACAUCCUUCUAUGCACUUUUGUCAAAUGUGUGGGAAAAGAAAUCCGGAACAACAGGAGUAUGGUAUGUUCUAAAUCUGUCAGACCAUCAUGUAUUUACCAAAGGACUUUAACACCAAGGGUUAGUAGAGAACCAAUAAUGGUUACUUGUCUAAAGUUCUUCUUUAGUUACACUGGCUCUAUCAUUUUCUAUUUUUACCAUUAGAGCUGAUGAUUCCCACUGUGUACUGUUCCUGGAGCUAAGGCCAACUUUAACAGCUCAGACUGAAAGAUCUUGGUCUCAAUGUUUUCCAUUAGAAAGAAAAGAUGGAAAUCGCAUUAUUAAAUGUAUUCUGAUCUCAUCAGUGCGAGACACACACUUUGGAACACAACAACUUUAGCUUUUUACACAAGAGGCUAUAAAGAAAGCCAGGAAGACAACAUUUGCAAAAUAUUAUGUUGCAGGUCUGUUUUAGAUUAAACAACUUCUUAAAAUGAACACUUCUUGAUUUUCUGCAGCAAUGACCCAGCGUAUAAAGGAUAAAAGUUAGAAAUGAGACUUCAUCUUUUAAAGAAUGCCAACACACACGAUCUGAAAAUGCACAACCUUCCAUGUUUGUCAUUCGUGAUUUGAAGUGCCUUGGUUUUGCAGAUUUCAAGCUCUGUCGAAUCGAGCUAAAAAUGUGUUGCAUUAACGUGGCACUCUAUAUUUUAGCAGGUAAAUAUGGGUUUUUGUGCUUUUGCCAUUCAGGUUUUACAUUUCAGGUGAGGAGCAAACCAGCAGGCAUCAGACAUUGUGCCAAUGCCUGUGGGGAGGUGGGCAAAGCUUUGACCGUGUUGGUGGAUGUCUUUUUUUUUUUUUUUUUUCUUCAAUUUAGCUGAUUCACAUAAAUACGAAAAAUAUUUGUAUGCACAUGCCCACCCUUCCAAAGCCAGUUGGUAUGCAGAAAAGCACAGUUUGUUUGGUUUUUGGGAAAAUGACGGUUUAGAUUUCAGUCUAAAUCAAAAGCCAAUCCUGCCAAAUUCUACAAUCAAAGCACCCUUAAGGCCAAGUUAGUGGUAGAUAAAGUGUUAAGUUAAUGCAUAGAUUUUUGUUUUUUAUAUUUAAUCUUAUUUUUAUUAGUCUGCUAUUACGUCUCACUGCUUUGAUAGUGGUGCUGAAACAGCUACCAAGUGAAGCGUUUCCCAUGCAUCUCCACUCAGUUCAACAUCUGUUGCAUAUCAAUUAAACUCUUCGCAUUUUAACUCUUCUCUCAGUUCUUUUAGCUAAAUUGUACUUUCCAGUUGUCCUUGGAUUGACUGAGCUCUCCAUAGUAUUCCUUUACUUGCAGUCAGAUUUUCAUCUGCAUAUGAAAUUAUGAAAAUCAUAUGCAUACAACAGCAAAAAGAUUGAUAGCCUCCAUUUUUAAUCCAAAGGGUUGAGGAUGAAAUUGAGAAUUUAAUUAUGCAUAUUUUUAAAACAUAUGCACAUUUUGUCACAUUUAGCCACAAACUUCAAUCUGUUGUAUUGGGAUUUUAGGUAUCAAACCAAUGCACACAACUAUGAAGUGGAAGGAAAAGCAUACAAAAAACUUAAAAUCUAAAAGGUUUGUUCAACCUGUAAUUACAUCUGUGUGUUUUGGCUUUGUUCAUCUACAUACAGAGUGCUUUGCACAUUCUCCUUCAAAAUGGCUUAAGCUCUGUCUGAUUGGUGGUAGAAAGUCUGUGAACAGUCAUUUCACAAUUAUUAAAUGCUUUGUUUUGGUCUAUCACAUAAAUUCCCAAUAAAAUGUUUGUGGUUGUAACGUGACAAUAAAAAAGGAAAGGUUCAUAUACUUCUGCACUAUAAGUUUUAGAUGGCCUUUUUUUUCUGUCUGACAUGUUAGUUUUCAUUGUACAAUCUCAAUUUCUGUGGCAUAAUCCAGACAGAAUCCUUUAAAGUACUGUGGUAUGUCACCAAGUGUGAAUAAUGGUCAGACUAUUAACAGUCUUUGUUUGAUUUUUCUAGAACUGUUCCCAAGCUUUUAUGUCUAAAUGUUUUUACUCAGAUAAAUUGACUUCAGGACAUAAAAAAUAAAAAAUAUACAUAAAUAAAGCAUAAAAUGGUACCACUCUUCAAUAAGGCUCCCAUCAUAGAUCGCUAAUAAAUAGUACAGAUAUGCUAUUAAUUUAUCUGUAAACACAUUACAAAUAAGUGUUUAUAAUGCAUUAAUGGGGAGGGUGAGACAAAACUGAUUGG